rnacentral:misc_RNA from 1 species
GAUGAAGAACGUAGCGAAAUGCGAUAAGUAAUGUGAAUUGCAGAAUUCAGUGAAUCAUCGAAUCUUUGAACGCACAUUGCGCCCCUUGGUAUUCCGAGGGGCAUGCCUGUUCGAGCGUCAUUAUAACCCCUCAAGCUCAGCUUGGUGUUGGGGCCUGCUGCACUGGCAGCCCUUAAAAAUCAGUGGCGGCGCCAUCUGGCUCUAAGCGUAGUAAUUCUUCUCGCUAUGGAGUCCUGGUGGAUGCUUGCCAUCAACCCCCAAUUUUUCUAUGGUUGACCUCGGAUCAGGUAGGGAUACCCGCUGAACUUAAGCAUAUCAAUAAGCGGAGGA